GGAAUCAUUACUAAGUAAGAAAAGCAUCUCACAAAUAAGGAAGUGAUUCAAAAUCAGUGGAAAACUUUUAAGGAAAACAUAUACAAAAUCAGGGAUUCAAAGAGAUGCACAGAAUCGGCAGAAUAUUUGUUAAAUAAUAAACAAUUAGACCUAUUAAAUAGAAUAGGCACGAAAAUCAAAGAACCCUAAGCAAGAAAUCACAUAAUCAGUAGAAGGUUGGAACCCUAAUAACAAAAUUAAAGCAUAGAACUCAGAGAAUAACCAAGAAGAUCACACAAACAAGCAUUAUACAAACACAAACAUAUAGCACUCAAA
rnacentral:lncRNA from 1 species